UAGUGGACCAUAUCUGCAAAUGCUUCUGAACAUUGACAGAAUUUCUAAAGAUGACUGAGAAUAUUACUGAAGGAUCCUACAUGGAAGCUGUCUGAUUACACUGAGUGAUUCCUCUGGUGUGGUGUACCUCAGAGAAAAUAAACACUGUUGCAAGAGCUGAGAAGAUAUCCUUAUUGCUGGAUGGUUGCUCUCUGGUCGUACUUGAGCCCCCUGGACCAUGUCUGCAAAUGCUUCUGAACAUUGACAGAAUUUCUAAAGGAUCGCUGAGGACUCCCCCUCCAUGCGUGACCUCUUUGAGAAAUUUGGAGAUGCCAAGUUUGGUACGUCUGCCAGACAUUUUUUUAACCUUUAUUUAGAAAGAACAAGUCACGAUAUAGUUGUGUGCAUUGUUGAUUUUGGCUAUACUUGGUGUUAAUUAAGCUUCCUGAUACUGCAUGAUUUAUACCGUUCACUCAGUAGAGUAAAGCUUUCUAUAUAACCUGUUAAAACAGGGCGUUAUAAAUUUUGUGGUUACCAGAAUGGCAAUUACUGAGUCGCAGUGCAUUACUAAAGGCCCUAUGUUAUGUCAUAGUAGAGUAGUACUGGCAAUUAACCUUUCAAUGACUAUUACAGCAUGUUUCAGAUGGUAUGGCGUGCAUUAUGGGGCUAAGCACCAUUGAUGUAUCUCUCUCUCUCUCUCUUUCUCUCUCUCUCUCAAAUCUUAAAAAUUCUUUCAGACUGGAACCAACUUUGCAUCCCUCGGCACUGACACUGAGAAGGUUUCAAGGA